rnacentral:rRNA from 1 species
UACGGGGGGAGCAAGCGUUGUUCGGAUUUACUGGGCGUAAAGGGCGCGUAGGCGGCCACCGCAAGUCGGUUGUGAAAUCUCUGGGCUUAACCCAGAAAGGUCAACCGAUACUGCGGGGCUAGAGUGCAGAAGGGGCAACUGGAAUUCUCGGUGUAGCGGUGAAAUGCGUAGAUAUCGAGAGGAACACCAGUGGCGAAGGCGCUGUCCUGGGCCACCACUGACGCUGAUACGCGAAGGCGUGGGGAGCGAACGGG